rnacentral:rRNA from 1 species
AUUGAACGCUGGCGGCAUGCCUUACACAUGCAAGUCGAACGGCAGCGGACCUUCGGGUGCCGGCGAGUGGCGAACGGGUGAGUAAUAUGUCGGAACGUACCUUUCAGUGGGGGAUAACGUAGCGAAAGUUACGCUAAUACCGCAUAUUCUGUGAGCAGGAAAGCAGGGGAUCGCAAGACCUUGCGCUGAUUGAGCGGCCGAUAUCAGAUUAGCUAGUUGGUGAGGUAAAGGCUCACCAAGGCGACGAUCUGUAGCGGGUCUGAGAGGAUGAUCCGCCACACUGGAACUGAGACACGGUCCAGACUCCUACGGGAGGCAGCAGUGGGGAAUUUUGGACAAUGGGCGCAAGCCUGAUCCAGCCAUGCCGCGUGAGUGAAGAAGGCCU